UGGGGAAUCUUGCACAAUGGGCGAAAGCCUGAUGCAGCGACGCCGCGUGAACGAUGAAGCCCUUCGGGGUGUAAAGUUCUUUCGACGGGAACGAUAAUGACGGUACCCGGAGAAGAAGCUGCGGCUAACUACGUGCCAGCAGCCGCGGUAAUACGUAGGCAGCGAGCGUUGUUCGGAAUUACUGGGCGUAAAGCGUGCGUAGGCGGUGUCAUAAGUUUGGUGUGAAAUCUCCCGGCUUAACUGGGAGGGUGCGCCGAAGACUGUGAUGCUUGAGUGUGGGAGAGGUAAGCGGAAUUCCUGGUGUAGCGGUGAAAUGCGUAGAUAUCAGGAGGAACACCUGUGGUGUAGACGGCUUACUGGACCACGACUGACGCUGAGGCACGAAAGUGUGGGUAGCAAACAGGAUUAGAUACCCCCGUAGUCC
rnacentral:rRNA from 1 species